GAUGAACGCUGGCGGCGUGCCUAAUACAUGCAAGUCGAGCGAACAGACGAGGAGCUUGCUCCUCUGACGUUAGCGGCGGACGGGUGAGUAACACGUGGAUAACCUACCUAUAAGACUGGGAUAACUUCGGGAAACCGGAGCUAAUACCGGAUAAUAUAUUGAACCGCAUGGUUUAAUAGUGAAAGACGGUUUUGCUGUCACUUAUAGAUGGAUCCGCGCCGCAUUAGCUAGUUGGUAAGGUAACGGCUUACCAAGGCGACGAUGCGUAGCCGACCUGAGAGGGUGAUCGGCCACACGGGAACUGAGACACGGUCCAGACUCCUACGGGAGGCAGCAGUAGGGAAUCUUCCGCAAUGGGCGAAAGCCUGACGGAGCAACGCCGCGUGAGUGAUGAAGGUCUUCGGAUCGUAAAACUCUGUUAUUAGGGAAGAACAAAUGUGUAAGUAACUAUGCACGUCUUGACGGUACCUAAUCAGAAAGCCACGGCUAACUACGUG
rnacentral:rRNA from 1 species